rnacentral:sRNA from 1 species
UCGACCGUCUCACCGGACCAUGAAAGCAGGAUAAGCAAAUCCUCGGCGGUGAUCAUGCCGAGAUCGCCGUGACUUGCUUCCGUCG